rnacentral:rRNA from 1 species
GACUUGAUGGAGUGCUUGCACUCCUGAAGGUUAGCGGCGGACGGGUGAGUAACACGUAGGCAACCUGCCCUCAAGACUGGGAUAACUACCGGAAACGGUAGCUAAUACCGGAUAAUUUAUUUUGCAGCAUUGUGAAAUAAUGAAAGGCGGAGCAAUCUGUCACUUGAGGAUGGGCCUGCGGCGCAUUAGCUAGUUGGUGGGGUAACGGCUCACCAAGGCGACGAUGCGUAGCCGACCUGAGAGGGUGAACGGCCACACUGGGACUGACACACGGCCCAGACUCCUACGGGAGGCACC